rnacentral:rRNA from 1 species
UACGAAGGGGGCUAGCGUUGCUCGGAAUCACUGGGCGUAAAGCGCACGUAGGCGGAUUGUUAAGUCAGGGGUGAAAUCCUGGAGCUCAACUCCAGAACUGCCUUCGAUACUGAGAGUCUUGAGUCCGGAGAGGUGAGUGGAACUGCGAGUGUAGAGGUGAAUUCGUAGAUAUUCGCAAGAACACCAGUGGCGAAGGCGGCUCACUGGCCCGGUACUGACGCUGAGACGCGAAAGCGUGGGAGCGAACAGG